CCUACGGGAGGCAGCAGUGGGGAAUUUUGGACAAUGGGCGAAAGCCUGAUCCAGCAAUGCCGCGUGCAGGAUGAAGGCCCUCGGGUUGUAAACUGCUUUUGUACGGAACGAAAAGCCUGGGGCUAAUAUCCCCGGGUCAUGACGGUACCGUAAGAAUAAGCACCGGCUAACUACGUGCCAGCAGCCGCGGUAAU
rnacentral:rRNA from 3 species